rnacentral:rRNA from 1 species
CCUACGGGAGGCUGCAGUGAGGAAUAUUGGUCAAUGGACGAGAGUCUGAACCAGCCAAGUAGCGUGAAGGAUGACUGCCCUAUGGGUUGUAAACUUCUUUUAUAUGGGAAUAAAAUGUUCCACGUGUGGGAUUUUGUAUGUACCAUAUGAAUAAGGAUCGGCUAACUCCGUGCCAGCAGCCGCGGUAAUACGGAGGAUCCGAGAGUUAUCCGGAUUUAUUGGGUUUAAAGGGAGCGUAGGUGGAUUGUUAAGUCAGUUGUGAAAGUUUGCGGCUCAACCGUAAAAUUGCAGUUGAAACUGGCAGUCUUGAGUACAGUAGAGGUGGGCGGAAUUCGUGGUGUAGCGGUGAAAUGCUUAGAUAUCACGAAGAACUCCGAUUGCGAAGGGAGUUCACUGGACUGCAACUGACACUGAGGCUCGAAAGUGUGGGUAUCAAACAGGAUUAGAUACCCUGGUAGUC